UACGUAGGUGGCAAGCGUUGUCCGGAUUUACUGGGCGUAAAGAGCGCGCAGGCGGUCGUUCAAGUCGCGUGUGAAAGCCCCGGCUCAACUGGGGAGGGUCACGCGAUACUGAUCGACUCGAAGGCAGGAGAGGGUAGUGGAAUUCCCGGUGUAGUGGUGAAAUGCGUAGAUAUCGGGGAGGAACACCAGUGGCGAAGGCGACUACCUGCCUGUUCUGACGCUGAGGCGCGAAAGCUAGGGGAGCAACGGG
rnacentral:rRNA from 1 species